UCUCUGCAGCCCUGCGUUGGCAGUCUAACAGCACACCUAAGAAUGUGGGAGUAUCUGACAACGUUUACACUCUGAUGCUUUGUACUUUCCAUGUGGCCACAAAGAAAUGUGCGACCCAUCUCUGGAAGUGUUCAAGAGACCACAAUAGCAUCUAUCAGAGAAGAAAGUGAAGACUCAGACCAGAAUCCAGGAGGUUUAUGUGGUGGCUGGAAAACAGAGGAAGAAUCUCUAAUAGCCAGAUCUCAAAUACACUGACAUCCUCAUCAUCCAAGCCCACAGUGGUGGAUCUCUGCUUCCGUGACAGGUCUGAGACUCUCGCCAAGCAACAGGAAAGAUAACCAUCAGCAGCUUCAGACUUACCUUCUAUGAGAUUUGCAACCUGAGAGACUUUUUCUCAAGCAUGGUUCUCAUUGGCUGACUUGAGUCACAUGUCAACCUCUCAACCAAUCAUUGUGAUCAAAGGGAUUUGGUAUUCUGGAUUG